rnacentral:rRNA from 1 species
UGCUUUCGAAGGCUUGACCUCAAAUCCGGUAGGACUACCCGCUGAACUUAAGCAUAUCAAUAA